rnacentral:rRNA from 1 species
AGAACGAACGCUGGCGGCAGGCCUCAAACAUGCAAGUCUAGGGGGUGUAGCAAUACAUCACCGGCGGACGGGUGCGUAACACGUGGGAAUAUACCUUUCGGUACGGAACAACUGCGGGAAACUGCAGCUAAUACCGUAUACGUCCUAGCGGAGAAAGAUUUAUCGCCGAAGGAUUAGCCCGCGUUCGAUUAGCUAGUUGGUGAGGUAAUGGCUCACCAAGGCGACGAUCGAUAGCUGUUCUGAGAGGAAGAUCAGCCACACUGGGACUGAGACACGGCCCAGACUCCUACGGGAGGCAGCAGUUGGGAAUCUUGGACAAUGGGGGAAACCCUGAUCCAGCCAUGCCGCGUGAGUGAUGAAGGCCUUCGGGUUGUAAAACUCUUUCGACGGGGACGAUAAUGACGGUACCCGUAGAAGAAGCUCCGGCUAACUUCGCGCCAGCAGCCGC